AAAUUACUCGAAAACCUAGCCUCUACAACUAUCUCCACCAAAAGUCCAUGAAAAAUGCAUCUUUGCCAAAACCCUCCUCCGCGUCGCCCUCACUAUCCUCCUCCGCCACUCCUCCAGAAGGAGCUCGAACGCUGCUCAGGAGAGCCACUCAGGCACAGCUUCAAGGAAUUCAUAUCCAUUCGGAGCGAUCGCGAAGAGGAGGGUGGGAAUGGGAUGAAGCUGGAAGCAGAUUGCAAGGAAAAGACACGCUAGAUGAGCUCCGCCCAACUGGAGCCCUAAUUCUACUACCAACGACAAGGUCGACAAUGAUGGCAAAAGCAUUGCGGAUGAGUUUUGGUUACAAAGAAAUGAAAAGCCUAAUCUCACGGAGGAGAAGGAGAUCGAUUGCUCGGAGUCAAAAAGCUACCAUUUUACGACCGGAUUCUUUCCUUUUAAGAGCUCAAAGGAGGCGUCGAAGCCCUCAAUGACACCAUGUGAUCUCUCUCUUCUAUCACUCCGACCGUCAAGGUGUUGCCUUCCCCAUCUCUUCGACGGCCGACGAACACUCUGACAAUGGCUCCGCCGCCAAGCACUCUGACAGCGCUAAACCAGUAUCUGACGAUGCACACCUUAGCUUGCAAUUGCAGCAUCCUCCAAGGAUGAUGAGGCGUUGUUGGGCGUCAAAACUGCUUCGCCGCAUUAAGAUCACAGGAUCAAGGAGUAUAAAUAAUGGUUGUCUAGAUUCAUUUACCUGACCAAGAUGGAGCUUGAUAAUUUAUUGUCGGAACCACAUUCUGUUUGACAUACUUGAGGGAUUUUGAUCCGACCAGAUAAUUGUGAAGAACCUUUAUGACCUAAUAGGAGACUUUGCACAUGCACCAUGAAAAAAUUGAUGAUCUAGAGGCUUCCUUGAUUGGGUACGAGGCAAAAGAAACUAGUGAUGAAAAAGAAACUAUGGUACGUGGAAGCUAAGCAAAGCUUGAUUAGGAAUUGGCAGAUUUCUGCAAUCACUGUUUAUUGUGUCUUUGCUCUUCAAGACAUGACAUACUCUGAGGGCCUUUUCAGAUAUUUUGAAGGUGAAUAGAGGUAUUCAGGAACUCCAGCUAAACAGCUAGGGUAUGGAUGAUUACAGGAGCAACAACUACAUGCUAUGUGGCACUGCAUUCGAACCUCAGGGGUGUGACUGGGAAGUACUUCGACGAAGAACUAUCAAGACGGCUUUAAGAUUUAAGCGAGAAGAUGGUUAAAGCCAAUAAAUAAAGAACAUUCAAGUCAAGAUAAGUAACAUCUAUCAAGAUCCUUUAAGUUCAUAUAAUAAGAUGUAGUCGAUGGGAGCAGCUUUGAAUGUCGCCUAAUUAAAAUUUCUUUGUAUGCGAGUAAUUAUGUUUGUUAUAGAAGUGUAAGGAUGAUAAUUUGUAUAUUUAUCUUGGUUGUUUAUUUAAUAAUAUGUUGUUGAUUGAAGUA